rnacentral:rRNA from 1 species
UGCAGUCGAACGGUAACAUUUCUAGCUUGCUAGAAGAUGACGAGUGGCGGACGGGUGAGUAAUACUUAGGAAUAUGCCUUUGUGUGGGGGAUAACUAUUGGAAACGAUAGCUAAUACCGCAUAACGUCUUUGGACCAAAGGGGGCUCCGGCUCCCGCGCAAAGAGUAGCCUAAGCGAGAUUAGCUUGUUGGUGAGGUAAAGGCUCACCAAGGCGACGAUCUCUAGCUGUUCUGAGAGGAAGAUCAGCCACACUGGAACUGAGACACGGUCCAGACUCCUACGGGAGGCAGCAGUGGGGAAUAUUGCACAAUGGGGGGAACCCUGAUGCAGCCAUGCCGCGUGUGUGAAGAAGGCCUUCGGGUUGUAAAGCACUUUCAGUUGUGAGGAAAGGUUAACGGUUAAUACCCGUUAGCUGUGACGUUAGCAACAGAAGAAGGACCGGCUAACUCCGUGCCAGCAGCCGCGGUAAUACGGAGGGUCCGAGCGUUAAUCGGAAUUACUGGGCGUAAAGCGCACGCAGGCGGUUUGUUAAGCUAGAUGUGAAAGCCCUGGGCUCAACCUGGGAAUUGCAUUUAGAACUGGCAGGCUAGAGUUUUGGAGAGGGGAGUGGAAUUCCAGGUGUAGCGGUG